CAGCAGCCGCGGGAAUACGGAGGGGGCUAGCGUUAUUCGGAAUUACUGGGCGUAAAGCGCACGUAGGCGGCUUUGUAAGUAAGAGGUGAAAGCCCGGAGCUCAACUCCGGAACUGCCUUUUAGACUGCAUCGCUUGAAUCCAGGAGAGGUGAGUGGAAUUCCGAGUGUAGAGGUGAAAUUCGUAGAUAUUCGGAAGAACACCAGUGGCGAAGGCGGCUCACUGGACUGGUAUUGACGCUGAGGUGCGAAAGCGCGGGGAGCAAACAGGAUUAGAUACCCCUGUAGUCCCUGUCUCUUAUAC
rnacentral:rRNA from 1 species